GGGAGGGCAGCUGAUGAGCAGUCGGUGCUGCACUGCUGUUUAACUUGAACGAUGAAAUUCUGCUAUGUGACAGGAGCUGCCUUGGUGGAGUACAGCUUUAAAAAUUAAUAAAGACUUUUCUCACAGCCACAUUAUGCGGCGUUCUAUAUAGACUAUGAUCUCAUAACCUCCUCCUCCAGCUUCACACGCGCCGGCUGCUGAAACCCAAGAUGAGGGCUUUUUUUUUUUUCAUUUAGAGAGCACUCCCCAGUCUUCAUAGAGGCACAACUGCAGAGCUAAUCAAAAUCAAUGACUUCUUGGCUGCUGUAAAAAAAAAAACAACAAAGAGAGGAGAGGAGCGAGUGGAAGAGAGAGGAACUGUGCUGGUUUCCUUCCCAUCAGUAGCAGCUCACACAGCCGCUGCGAUGUGGCACAAAGGGCACUAGGGAGCAUACAGCAUGCUUUCUUGUCCAGUACAAACAUCAACCAGGUUGAGAGCAGAAAAGCCUGUCCGUGGUGAGUUCAGACUGAGGAACGUGAGCCAGUCCCUGUCAGGCUGUCACUGAGCGAAGGGGCUUUCCCAGGGUGUACCACAGUACUCAGCAACGCUACGCUUGCUGCAUCAAAAGGGACACUUAUGCCACCACAGACAAGGUGCAGAGGAGACAACGCUAGCAUUACAGCAGGGACAUCACUAAUCUUUUGACCAGACUGCAGGAGCACAAAUGCUCAUACCACCAUCAUCUACAAGGAAUGUUGCUUACGUUCUCAACAAGGCAUGCACGUUUUAACGUAUGCAUACAGGAGGGUUUACAUUCUUCUAUAUAUAAGCAUGUAUGUGUCUCUGUUUUGUGGCUGGGCCCUUGAACAGCUCCUUCAGUGCAAAUCCUUCCUCACGUUGCCCAAAGCACUUCCAACAUCUUCCACUUCUUUCUUUAUCUCCACUCUUCACAGCUGCUGCUCAGGCUCUGGAUUCCCUGUAGGAAGAGGGGAAACAAUUUUCUCCAAGGGCACAGGGUUUUCUCCAGCCUAAGAAAGCAAAAGAAUCGUGUUUGGUUUUAAUUAUAUUGAUGCAUUGCUUACAAUAAAAGCUUCCUUAAAAUUUAUGCUUGAACCCUCCUGCUAAAUUUACCGACUGGAAGAGGUAUAUAAUUUAUGGGGAAGAUGGUUUUGUGGUUCAACACAAGAGGAGACGCCGUUAUCCCUGUGCUGUGCAGGGCUUGUGCUGUGCUCCCACUUUGUGAGGCCUCCUUUGGAUGCUCCAUCUCCUCUUACACCAUGCUAACAAAAGUGUGAACUUUUAGGGAAGCCAUUCAUUUUGCUACAGGUUGGCAGUGGGGUGCACUGCGCAUCACGAGAGACUGGCAGAACUCACUCACUCCUGGUUCUGCCACUGAUUAGAUUUGUGGCCUCGGGCAAACCACCUCCUCCAGCUGCUGCUGGAAAAUGAGGGCAGUAAUAACUUAUUUGCCUCACAGGUGGGCUGCGAGCCUUAAUUAAUAAAGUGCUCAGAGGAAGGCACCCAUCUAAGUGCAAAUUAGCAGGAGAGGUGCCCAAGGGGCAUCUGCUCUGACAUUGCCAUUUCCCACACCGAUACCCAGGUCUGGCGGUGCCAGCCUUCCAUGGGGCGUCCCAGCAUUCAGGCUGCAGAUCCCACAGCAAGGAGCGAUCCUACAGCAACCUCAGUGGAGAAAUCUCUGCUGGCCUUCAAGAUGAGGUGAUUUCACCCGGGCGGGAGGAGGGAGGGGGAGCAGCUGACUCUGCAAUUGCAUCGCCUAUGAAGUCAGAGUGUAAUUAGGACUGCAAACAGCUUUGGGGAGCAUUCGGAUCGCAUUACUCCGGUGUAAACCCAGACUCGCUUCCCUGCCUCCUGUGGUUCUGCUCUGCUUGUGCUGCUGCCGAGGUUACGGCGGUCCAGCAGCACUGCCCCUCGGAUUACCGGAGGUGGACGGGAGGAUGGAAGGCACUGCCCGCAGCCCCGGUCGGCCUCGUGCCAUUGCUGCCUGCUGCUCCAUCCCACCUGCUGCCGGCUGCCCAGCCGCUGCAUGCGCGGGAUGCAGCAAGCACAGCCUCCCCCUCUCUGUUUAUGGCUUUUGCUAUCGAGUUUCGAGGAAUCCAAAGCAACGGCACAAACAGCUCGGAGGACUGAAGCCACAAUGCAUCAUCGAGACCUGAAGCACAUUUCACCUGUCCUGCUGUGAUCGGUGCUACCAGCGAGACACAGUUUCUACAGCUUCCCUGUCUCCACGUACACAGGCACACACAGCUCAAGUGCCUCCAGCCUGAGGAACGUCCCAAGGAGGGGAUUCCCAGCUCCUGCACUUCUCACACACACACUGUCUUUAUAACACACCAUGUCCACUGAUGGGAAGGCACAGCACAGCCGGAGAGGCUUUAGGGUCCUGAGCCCUCUGGUUGCAAGCCAGCAACGUCAGUGCUUACACACACAGAGAUUUACUCGAUUACCUUUAAGUAAAGCCUUCAGGAUUUCAUUCAACAGUUUCUUCCAAGCAAAAGCACUCAGUUUGUAUUUACUGUUUCUCCUGGAGCAGCACUCCCAAACACCAGCCCUGAUCCCUUGCCCUACUCUGCCCUCCCCGGCCCAAUACAGAUCCUCUGCGGUGUCAUAUUUUACAGACUGCCUCUCUGUGUCACUUAACAUACAGAAAAUCUUUAAAAACCCGUAAAAGUUGAUAAAUCCUACAACAUCCUGAACUCCGGGUGAUAAAUCUGCUGUGGGGAGCGGGCAGGGAGCUCAGCUCGAUGUCCACACGUCUCAGGAGCUCAGUCUUUUAGAGAUUAAAUGACUCUUUGGUUUUGCAUCAGCCUCGUGUUGGCCUUCUGCAGAAAGGUGAAUUUCAUAGAAAGAAUAAAAGAGAGUCCCAGAAUCCUGGCCUUCAGCCCAUCCGCCUAUAAAACAACUCUGAAUACCCUGGGCUGUGUGAAAGCCAUUUCUGGGUGCACGCUGGCUGCAGCGCCAGUAUCUGACUCAUUAAUGGAAUAUACUUGGAGCCAAAUUCUGAUCUCACUUGCAGCACUGUAAAUCCAGGGCAACCCAUUUGACUUCAGUGGAGUUACUCCAAAUUUCCCACAAUAGCUCUCAGCAGAUAGAUCAAAUUUGGUACUUUGGGUCUGAAAAAGGCUCCAAAAAGCCAAACUGCAUCCUGCUUGCAAUAGUGGGGUGGAUGGUAAGUUGACAGGAGUGCCAGCAGUCCCUCUGUAGUGCUGCUGAAAAUGUGUUUAUUUUAUGUGCCUCUCCUGUGAUGUCAAAACUUUCUGGCAGGAUUGUCCACUGUUGCCAAUUUCCUUUUUCAUUAAGAAGGAAGGAAUUCUAACUGACUUCCUUUAAGCCAAAUACAGUGUCUACUGAAAACAUGGACUGAAAAAGUGAUAAAGCAAAAAAAAUCAUUUUGCUUUGAACUUUUCCACGAGAGCCAACGUUCCCUUUGGUGACACAUCCCUCCCCUCCUGGGCACGUGGGGAGAUGCAGGACCCGCUCAGAACGCCUCUGUGCUCGUUUUGUCUGUUAAGCAGUCAGGCUGAGAGACAACAGAUCACAUUGGCUGAUAUUUGCAAAUCAAUCUCAGCCAGCCCAAGCACAUCCCAUUGCUUUUGUAGACCCAGACAUCCACACUUCUGAUCCUGGAACUCUCCCGCCUUAAAUCCUGCAGUUUUCUUGCAGACUGCUAAGCUGCUGUUCAGCUGAAAAAAGAAAGCUGCGUGGGACAGGCAUGAGCUGACCCAGGUGUGGGGUCCCUGCUCUGAUCUCAGCACUUCUUUAGCUCAUCUUUAUUCAGCAACAGGACACCAGGCCAUGGUUGGGUACCACCUGUGCAAAGCCCUGGGAAAAGCUGAGCCCGGGCCCCUCUAGCAGUUGGCAGAAGGAGCUCUGCUCACAGCUCACACAGCAGCACGUAACUUCUUGAUCUAAAUGGAUUACAAUUCAACUGGCACGUGUUCCACUCCUAAUAAACAAAAUAACUGUUAUUAAUACAUUUAAAGAAAGAAUGGUAUCCGAGGGCUCAGAGAGCUUAAGGUAGGAACAAAACAAGGCACUCCUGCUUCCUCCCUCACGCAGCAGAAGGUUAAUGAGAAAACAAGGACUAGGCAAGAGCCCCGUCAAAUUCCCAAGCAGCCCGCAUCCAUGUGCACUCACACUUCAUUAGCAUCUCUGUGGGAGACAGAAGGGUACCUUGCAAGGCAAAAAAAACCUAUUAGGAGGGGCUCGAGGGGUAAGGUGGAAAAAGAGUGGAUCUACAGGAGAGGAAAUGGGAAGGAUGAUGUGUAUGGGAGAGCUCACCACGGGAAGAGUGGGUAAAGAAGUGCACAGGGGCUCAAACCUCCCCAAACAGGACCAGCCCACCUGGCCACCGCUUGCCUGAGGAAAGAUGCAUUUCUGAACAGCUGCUUAUUUCUGACAGCUCUGCUGCCUGUUCAUCAUGGAAUUUAAUGCUGAAGGUUUCCCUUGCACACUUUGACGCUGGGGAUUGGUGGGGUCGGUGCGUGCGGUGCAGCCAGCAGCAAGAGCAGGCUCCUGCCUUCCAGGAGGGGAUUGAGAGCCUCUGUGCCACAGCCCUGCAGACAUCUGUCCUCCUGCAGAGCUGCAGCGCUGCUGCGACCCUCAGCCCACCUGUGUCAGCAGCACUGCCUCUGGGCCUUUGUCUUCUCUGCACUCCUGCACCGCUCUGUGUGACAUCUCCAGAAAUCUUAUCAACCCCAUUUUAACACAGAUAAUUAACUGCAUUGAGACUUUGGACAGAGUGGCUCUGCAUGAACCUAGCAGCAAACAGCGGGGGAACUGCUGGCAGCACGGCGGGCACAGCACCAGGCUGCUGGAGCUGGCAGGGACAAGCAGGGUUCGAUUUUAAUACACUGCCACUUCUGAACUAAUAGAGCGAAACACAAGUGACAUUGUAUGCCAAACUGGCACUGACAACUACACUUCAUGCCCUGGCUGGAUAUUUCAAGGUGAUGUCAGAUUAUAGAUUAUCAAACUGCCAUUUACAAAGCCUUCAUCUCCACAUCCCAAGCACAAUCUACAGAGACAAAACGUCGGCCACAUGCAGCGGGCCCCAUCCUCCCUCCUCCGCCAUCACCUGCGGCUGGGAGCAGAAGUUCCCUGGCACAAGGGACUCUGUCCUGAGCUGCACCGCCACAUCCAGCCCCGAGGAACAGCUUCCAGCCCUGCUCCCAACCCUAAAGGACAGCUCCCAAGACCAUACAAGUUGCUCUCGUCUUAGGAGCUGUACUAUGCAAGACCACAAGUGCUCAGAGCCCAGGCUUCCCAUCCUGUUAGAGAAUGAAGUUACUGGCACUCGGGAGCGUCUCUGAGGAUGGCAGAAAGAUACCUGUGGUGCUCACACCUAACCCAACUGCACUCUUGGCUCUGAGACAUUGCAGACAAUCAGCUGAUCUCAUCGUGUGAGCAAAGUGCUACUCAAGAAGAAGAACAAACAGAUUAGUGGCAGAAGUAGCACGGGAACUGAGAGGUAGAGGACGCAUUUAUCACUCUGGAGUUGCACACUGCAGCUCAGCCACACGAUGCCAACAGUCAGACAGGGCUGCACCAUGCACAGGGCCACACAGAGACUUUCCCAGCUCUUACUGCCCCACACUUAGCUCCUCUGUCCUCCUCGAGCACGCUGUGCUGAGGGUAACGCUUCACUUUUCUGCUGCGUCUUCCUCAAAGCCACCUUAAGCACCUGGGUUUUGCUGGGCCUGGUGUGCACACAGCUGGUGGGGGUGAGGGCUGUGCAGGGCUGACAAGAGAAGAGAUCAGGAAAAAAAUCCACAUGGCCAAUGGCAUGCAUACCUGCAUGGAAACCUGAAAUCCAACAGCCUCGGGCUCCUUCCCACCCACCCCUGCUCCGCACCGGGCAAGGGAAUUCCCUGAGCUGUAAGAGAGCAGCACACUUGGGAUUCCAGAUAACGGAGAGCACUGCACUUCCCCGCGGAUUCCAACUUUUCUUGAGCACAAACAGGCACACACACACCACACGGCUGGCUUCACUUCCAACUGCUGCAACCAGGCACAGCGAGGGGAUGGAAGGCAGCACCCAAGCCCGGCCCCACACGCUGACAGCAUUGCCCAGCUCUCUGAGGGCACUAUUCUGGAUCCUCACCCCCCUGCUCUGAUGGUCCCAUACAGAUGGAAGCUCUGAUUCACUCAAACAAAACACAGGGUUUGUUGCCAAAGAGAUCUUUGCAAGGCACCCAGCUGAGCCGCAGGCAGACUGAGCGGCGGGCAGCGGUGAGCCCUGCUGCACACACACCCCUGCUGAAGCCCCUGCUUUUCAACUCUCGAGGCAAGCACGCUUUUCCCCACACUGAACAUCUGUGUUCAAUCGUACCCCACUACACCUCACAAGCACCAGCAGCACCGCUCCUGCCUGUGCAGGACCGCCCGUGGCUGCACGCAGCCCAGGCAGGCACUGUCAGAGGUCAGCUGCAGCAUUAGUGGCAUUUUUCAUCUGCUUUAUUUAAGGGUCUUGUCUAAAUCCUAUCCGAGCUGCAUGGCACUGGUAGCGUUCACUUCUCAUAGAAUCACGGGGUCAUUAAGGUUGGAAAAGACCUCUAAGAUUCCCAAGUCCAACCCCAGCCCACUCCCACUGUGCCCACUGACCAUGUCCCCCAGUCUCACUUCUCCACCUUCCUGAACACCCCAGGAGAUGGUGACCCCAGUGCUCCCUGGGCAACCUGUGCCACUGCAUCACUGCUCUUUUGGAGAAGAAAUAUCUCCUAAUACCCAACCUGAACACAUUUUUAAUUUAAAGCACCUGAAAAAGGAUUUACAGCUCCUACGUCUGCGGGGAGAGGUUUCUGUCCCAAAGCAGAGCACUCAAAUCCCUGAGAUGACCCCACAAGACCCUGCACUCCGAGGUGCUCAGUGCACGUCCCCGCUGUCUGUGAAACAAACACCCUCUUCCUGCACUCUGCUCCCCACCAGUGCCCGGCGGUGCUGGGGCGGAGGCGUAGGGCUGUCCCAGCCAGCUCAAGGAUGUUAUUGGGGCAGCAGCAAGGUUAUGGGAGCAGCUGUCCCCCACUGCCCUGCUGCCGGUCUGCGCAGUACUGGGGAGGUUCCGGGAACCUUCACCAACUGCACCUGAAUGUUUUUGUUUCCCUGGUGUGGGACCUCUGCCUUGGGCAGAGCAUGACCCAAUGCACGGAGCCGGGCACAGCCAGGCUGAGAUCCGCGCUGUGCCUCCGGGGUGAUGUCCUACGGCACCAGCUGAUGCGGGACGCGGGGGAGAGCUGUGGGUCCUACGUUCCUUGGGCUGGAGCGAUGCGGGGCUGGGAGGAGGAGACAGGAGCGGGAAAGUUUGGGGAGGGAGAAAGGGGGAAUUAGGGAAAGGGCAAAGGGGGAAUCGGGGAAGGGGGAAUUAGGGAAGAGAGGACGGGAGAUCGCUGCCGUCACCGACUCCCCGCAG